GRAACCGCCGGUGAUAAGCCGGAGGAAGGUGGGGAUGACGUCAAGUCCUCAUGGCCCUUACGCGCUGGGCUACACACGUGCUACAAUGGCGGUGACAGUGGGCAGCAAUCUCGCAAGGGUGAGCUAAUCUCCAAAAGCCGUCUCAGUUCGGAUUGUUCUCUGCAACUCGAGAGCAUGAAGGCGGAAUCGCUAGUAAUCGCGGAUCAGCAUGCCGCGGUGAAUACGUUCCCAGGCCUUG
rnacentral:rRNA from 1 species